CGAAUGCAAAUAUGAACAUAACGCAUCGUUAGAUUUGUUCUUUUAUACAGAUAUAUGUAUAUAUGUAUGUCUUUUAUGCGUACCCCAGCCACUCCCACAGCCACACCCACACCAACAGUGCGAAUGAGAUGGCUAUAAAGUGGGCAAGCGAGAGAGAACGAUAGAGAGAAAUUUUGCUUAUGUUGAUUUUCUCUACAAAAGCUGCACAUCUGCAGUCCUCUCGCUGUGGGAAUAUAUGCGUGUGUUUCCUAUGUAAAAUAAAUUUAUGUAUAAACAUAUACAUACAUAUGUAUGUACUUCAAUCUCCGUGGGUGUGUGUGUUAUUCUAGGUGUAUGUGGAUUUGUUUGGGGCAUGCUGCAUAGUUUGCGUAUACAUCAUAUCAGCAUCAGGACAAUAAUUAUAUGUAUUUCCACCUGAAUUUCGGGGGUUGCAGAUGUGUAAAAUACUCGAAUACUUUGGAAAAGUGAAAAGAAACAUAUAAAUUCAUGCAUAAAGUGCUUAGCAUGACUAUAAGUCUAGUCUAGUCUAAAAUAAACAUUCAUUAUGAAUAAUUCCGAUUUGCUUUCAUUUUCAUUCAAUGUGGAACAAUUUUCAGAAAUUCAAAAUUGUCAAUGUUUUCCCUUUUCAAUAUAGGAUACAUCACGAUAAAAAAUCGUCAAGUGAUCGAUAAACUAUGAUUUCGCAUGAUCGCGUUCGAUGAUUCUAUAUUUUUGAAAUCAAUUUUUGAGUUUAAUAUCUUGUUUACACUAGGGCUGUGUCAUGCGUCUUGCCGGAGACAUAGUUUGGUUAACAUACGAUAAUCAGCGACCUAGUGGUGAAAAAGAAUAACACAUUUUUGUGAGCCCCUGAGACCACAAAAAAACACUGCUGGAUAUAUGGGAGGAAAACAUCGAUGGUGUUCACGGUGUGAGGAAAGUCAAAAGAAAUGACUGGAAAUAAUAACUAAAAAUGAGCAUUAAGCAUCCAUCUUGUUUCCUGUUGCUUGGCAUAAUUAUAUUGAUUGAUCAGUGAACCUCGGGGGAAUUCUUCGUCAUUAUGCACAUCAAUCUAUUCUUAUUAAGCAAUAAGCAGCGUAUGGCUGUGUAAGCGCCUACUAAUUCGAUAUAAAUAGUAAACGAGGGGCAGCUUAAAAAGGCUAUCUAUUACUAUUAAUUUUAUUAAAAAAUUCAUCGAUUCUGGCUAAUAGUUUGGAUUUUCAGAUUGGACGAUUCUUUGCAUUUGCUUAUCUUUAAUACUUAUGAAUCACUUAAUGUGAAGAUACAACCAGUA